AUUGAACGCUGGCGGCAUGCCUUACACAUGCAAGUCGAACGGUAACGCGGGGCAACCUGUCGACGAGUGGCGAACGGGUGAGUAAUGUAUCGGAACGUGCCCAGUUGUGGGGGAUAACUGCUCGAAAGAGCAGCUAAUACCGCAUACGACCUGAGGGUGAAAGCGGGGGAUCGCAAGACCUCGCGCAAUUGGAGCGGCCGAUAUCAGAUUAGGUAGUUGGUGGGGUAAAGGCCCACCAAGCCAACGAUCUGUAGCUGGUCUGAGAGGACGACCAGCCACACUGGGACUGAGACACGGCCCAGACUCCUACGGGAGGCAGCAGUGGGGAAUUUUGGACAAUGGACGCAAGUCUGAUCCAGCCAUGCCGCGUGCGGGAAGAAGGCCUUCGGGUUGUAAACCGCUUUUGUCAGGGAAGAAGCGCUCUGGGUUAAUACCUCGGGGUAAUGACGGUACCUGAAGAAUAAGCACCGGCUAACUACGUGCCAGCCGCCGCAGUAACAC
rnacentral:rRNA from 1 species